GCGGACGUGGCGGAAUGGUAGACGCCGGGGACUUAAAAUCCCCUGUACUUUGUACGUGCGGGUUCGAGUCCCGCCGUCCGCACCA
rnacentral:tRNA from 2 species